rnacentral:lncRNA from 1 species
GGCUAAGUCCUUGAGGCUGAGUUCUGGACCUUCGGGGACCGGUCUCUCAGCCAAGGACCGGUCUCUCAGGGACCGGUCUCUCACCGCAAGGACCGGUCCCCGAGCGCGAAAAUGGCCCAGUUCGGGCUGUUGCAAGAGAGGCUUUGUUGAGGGGUUUUUAUGCAAUUUUGCACUAAUGAGAGGCUAUAGAAGUGGGUUUUCACUCUCUCUUCUCAUUCUCUCAACCCUAACACCUCAAAACACCUCUCUCUCUCUCUCUAAACGUGAAGAAGAAAGAGGAGAAGAGAAGGAAGGAAAAAGGAGGAAAAAGGAGAGGAGAAGAAGGGGAUCCUCACCACCAUCAUCAUCUUCUUCUUCCUCUCACCAUUAGAGCAAGCUUAGCAAGGUAAGCUUCAAACCCUACCAUGGUAGAUUUCUAGAGUUUGAUCCUAAUGCUUUAGAAAUGGGUUUAAUAGCCUUUCUAGAUGCUAAUUAGUUGGAUUAUGCUUAGAUCCAAGGGUUUAAUGGUGGAUUUUUGCAUAGUAGCAAAUCUAGGGCUCC